AACGUAGGAGGCAAGCGUUAUCCGGAAUCACUGGGCGUAAAGGGCGUCUAGGCGGCACGAUAAGCGAGGUGUGAAAGCUCCUGGCUCAACUAGGAGAGUGCGCUUCGGACUGUCGAGCUAAGAGGGCAGGCGAAGGGGGUGGAAUUCCCGGUGGAGUGGUGGAAUGCGUAGAGAUCGGGAGGAACACCCGUGGCGAAAGCGGCCCCCUAGCCUGAACCUGACGCUGAAGCGCGAAAGCGUGGGGAGCAAACGGG
rnacentral:rRNA from 1 species